AGAUCCAAUAAGGAUUUAACUUAUUGGGGAAGAAAGCAACCAUGAUCCAUAUACAGUGGGGCAGAAGAACAGAGCAGAGAAAAAGUGAGUUGGAAGACCUGGACUUUAUACACUUUGCAAUCUGGGUAUCUGAAUUGGUGCUGCCUUUUUAAAAAGUAAGUUUCAGAAGGGGCAUGCUGAAAUCUCUUUGACUUCAUCCAUUGGGCACCUGCUUUAGGGAUGUUUAAAAUAUUUCUAAAUAAUAAAGGAUUUUGAUAAGAACAAUAUUUAAAGGCAAAUUUAUAUUCUGGCUUUUCAGCCCACUGUUAGUAUGCAUACAAUAGGAAAGGGUCAGGCAAAAGCCCAUUUUGAUGCAAUAUCCCCACCCCCACCCCUCUGAAAUACAAUCAGGGCACGAGAUCUUACUCCACAGGUAGAGGUCUAAGGAGGAAUUAAUUGGAAUCACCUGUGCCACAGCCCGUCAGCAAGAAAUGGAACCAACCAAGAAAUGAUUCAUUUAAACUCACUGCAAGUCUUUCUGGGAGGAGGAGAGGAGGCAAGACUCCUAGAAGUUGAGGUCUGAGGAGUGUGAGAUGCUGCUGAUGGACCCCCCAUUUCCUUUAGAGGGUUUGGGGUGUCAUCAUCUGAUGAUUCCCUCUGAACAUUUGAUAAAGGAAGAAGACUUUCUUCUGGCUUCUCUUGAAGGAGAGCAUUAGUGCUCUUCAAAGGAAUUUUCUGCAAAAGAGCUUCUGGGGAUAGUAACUUCAACAUGCUAGGCAUUGCUUCAACCUGAGAGUCAUGACUCCCUUCAACUAUAGAAGGAAAAUUUCAUUAAAGCAAGAAUGUCAAGAUCAAUUUGAUGCAGCUCCUGCAAUAUACCUAUUGGUCACUGGGCAGAUGCUUAAUAUUUAUUCACCAGUCAAAGUCUGUUCUUGUUGUUUUAAAACCAGUUCCCCAGUAGUCAAGUUGUUCCUGAGAGUUUGGAGGAAAGCUUUGUGUUUUUCUUUGCUGACAUCUGCUGGAAUGAUGAACAGAAAACAGACUCAUUAACUAGAAUCUAAAGGAAUCAAAAUGGGACUCAUGUUGGGUGCAUCUGCCUUCCCUUCUUUGUUCAGAAGAGCCAGUUUCCUUGACUUCAAAAUGAAGGGAUGGUAAUAGAUGAUUUCCAAUAUUCCUUUCAGUUCUAACAGUCCAUGAUUCUAUGAUAAAUAGGUAUGGGUAACAUGACCAAUGGGUUAUUGAAUUCUUGUCAUUCAUUUUUAGAAGGAUUAAAUCUUUUUCUAAUUUAUUUUUAAUAUAAGUUUUGAUUCCUUGUAUUUUCUAUAUCACAAUCAUUUAUUUAAUGCUAAUAUUUUACAUGCCUAUUAAAAUAUUCCCUUUUGAAAUCAUAUCUUUGUGUAAGGUUGGAUUUCCUUCAUAUGUUCCAACCAAAACAACAUAUCACAAUAGAUUGGAUGCAGAAAUAGACAGCAAAAUCCAAAUGUCUUCAAUGUUUAGCCAGAUUUUAAAGAGAUUUACAAAAAUACAUAAAGUAAUUCUCACAAAUUUGUUUUUGUUUUGGAAAUAGCUAUGUUUCAUAAAAAUAUGGUC
ensembl:lncRNA